GAUGAACGCUGGCGGCGUGCCUAAUACAUGCAAGUCGAGCGAACGGACGAGAAGCUUGCUUCUCUGAUGUUAGCGGCGGACGGGUGAGUAACACGUGGAUAACCUACCUAUAAGACUGGGAUAACUUCGGGAAACCGGAGCUAAUACCGGAUAAUAUUUUGAACCGCAUGGUUCAAAAGUGAAAGACGGUCUUGCCGUCACUUAUAGAUGGAUCCGCGCUGCAUUAGCUAGUUGGUAAGGUAACGGCUUACCAAGGCAACGAUGCAUAGCCGACCUGAGAGGGUGAUCGGCCACACUGGAACUGAGACACGGUCCAGACUCCUACGGGAGGCAGCAGUAGGGAAUCUUCCGCAAUGGGCGAAAGCCUGACGGAGCAACGCCGCGUGAGUGAUGAAGGUCUUCGGAUCGUAAAACCCUGUUAUUAGGGAAGAACAUAUGUGUAAGUAACUGUGCACAUCUUGACGGUACCUAAUCAGAAAGCCACGGCUAACUACGUG
rnacentral:rRNA from 1 species